GCCGUCGUUGACUAGUGGCAGGUCACCUCCAGCAAUUAGCCCUUGCGAGAUGUGACCGGAGGAAGCAAGGGUUCGACUCCCACCGGCGGCA